CCACCCUCCUCUUUUGUUCUUAUCGUGGGCUUUAACAAAAAAUAAUGACUUCCACACUUCAAGUUUGAGCCCAUACUAAAUAAACCUCAUUGUUCAGUCAUCAUCUCCACAUCCCUAAUUUUUUUCCAGUGCAGAACGGCGAGGAUUGUAACGGCUGUAAAUCACUUCAAGAGGUCACUAUUAACCUUGCCAUUCAUUCACAGUUAAAGCAAGAACACACUUCGUCUCAUUUAUUUCCCAUCACCAUCCUCUUCAGCUUCCUCGCAAACUCUCUAAUAUCUCAAACCUGUAAAAAGGGGUCUCGGCACCAUGAUUUUCACAGUUUCAUCUCAAUAUAACACUCAACAUACAGACACAGAACUUGAAGAACAAUGGCGACUUCCCAGAUAUCGCUUUCCGAGCUGAAGGCCGGACGUGCAACUAAACCGCUUUCACACGCCUUCUCUGUUUUUAGGAAGCUCGGAAUGUGAAGAAAAGUGGUCAAAGUCGACAUGCGACUCUUGGAUGAUAAGUAAUCUCUCAUCCAAGCAUCUGUAUCGGUCUAUCUCCCGAACACAUUCAGACAACUUCUUAGGGAGGGAGCUAUGUAUGAAGUGAGUGAGUUUGAAAUGACCAGAUGUAACAAUCAUUUCAAGUUUUGUGACUCCAACUUGGCCAUCCAAUUCAACAAUUUCACUAAGUUCAUCGAGGUGCAUGCUGUCCCUAAUCCUAUCCCAACCGAGAAGAUCAGGCUCCAUAAAUUUGAAGAACUUAUGAAUUUGGCAAAUACAAAUGUCCAAUUGCCAAAAUCAUUGGUGAAGUAAGCAACAUCAGGACAAUAUACAAUGACAAGAGCCAGACUACACAACGUGUUAUGGUCCACAUCAAAAUUGAUAAGUAACUUCUCUCCACAUAGAAAUUUUUUUAAAAUUCCCAAGUAUCUUAAUCUCAACUCUUACUAAAAUUUAAUUAAAAUAUAUACUUUUGGUGCGCUACACAACUGUCUUUCUAAGCUUUUUGACAGCCUUGCUGAACUCCUCCACAACAGACUUGAAACUGGUGUCCGCCGGCCAACAGUGAUGCUAGCUAUCAGCAUCAACCCAAAGUUAGUUGGAGGCCGUCUCUUCCUAAAUUCAAUUUUUGAAUCACACUUCAACUUUGAAAUGAGGUGGUAGCAAGUCAAACUUUAUUCGUUGAUUACCAGGUUGUGUGCCACAACCGAAAAUGACUCCACCAGUGUAACCAAAUACGGUGGAGUCAAGAAGCUGGAGACUAUUUCAUUACCGGAUUGGAACACCUACGUUUUAACCCUCCCCCCCCCCCCCCCCCCCCCCAGGUUUGUUUUCUGAUUUUACACCUACUCAAGCUUCCUAAUACUCAGGACAUUAAACCCCAUAUAACUCACUUUAACACAGAAUAUUGAGUUCAUAUGCACUGCCAAACUGUGAACGGAUGGUGCUACAUCUCAUCUGCUAAGUGUUCUAAAAAACUCCAGCGUGGUGUCUCCUUCACAUGCACUACAUGUUUUAACGCAAGUGCUGUUGGAGUUUUGAGAGAUUACCACCAGGAAACCCAUCAAAGAAAGCCCGCAAAGCUUAGUUUCCAGCACGGAGCACUCGAUGCACUCGCAAUAUACUUUUCCAAAUAAGGGUUAAGAGUCUAUCAUAGUUUAACAUUUCUCUUCGUUUUGGAUAUGUUUCUUAGUAACAUUUUUUUUUUAUGAUAUAUACGAAAUGAAAAUUUCCAGAAACUUUAAA